rnacentral:misc_RNA from 1 species
AAAAAAAUAUUCAUAUGGUAAGCUGGAAGGAGCCGUACUGAAAAAAUAUACACACACCAGCCGAAGUUGCCACGCAUGGCCCCAUUAGCCAAGUAAAAACUGGAAGGAGCCGGCGUGAAAAAUAUACACAAACCAGCCGAAGUUGCGACACAUGACCCUAUUAGCCAAGUAAACCUGUUUCAAGAGGUCAUCAAUUCUUGUUAAUAACAGGUUGUUUGGAACUUCGUACUGUCCAUUUCAACUGUUUGUUGAAUCAAUGUGAGCUGUGUGCCAAGGAAUCCACCUCAAUAAAUCGACUAUCUGCAACCCAAAUUCCAAGAGUUUACUCAGUCCUCAAGGAAGAAACUUCACCUUAUUAUAACCAAAUCAACCAAUCCAACAGCGUUUGAAUGGCACAAUCCUGCCCAAGUCUCAUCCAUUCAUAAAGGAAGAGAUGGUCCAUAAACAUCAUCAAUGAAAUUGUUAGAAUUUGUGCCUGUGCAUCGUUUCUAGAUGAUAUCACUCAACAAUUCACUGAAAUAGCAUAACAAGUGAGAGAUUAAUGCGAUUAAUCUGUUCCGUUUGGUGUCAUGAAAACACCAAUAUGAUUAAAAUGCAACACCUGCUAUAACAGACUCACAGUCUGAUGGCAAAGGAAAACUGACCCGACCACUAGGACCUAUAAACAAUAACUUGCUAAUAGGCUGAAAGGAGACAAGCACAGUAAACUUAGUUACAAAGGCUCAUAAAUAAUUACAAUAGCCCUUAUUAUUAGCUGUUAUCCGUACACUGCAACAAGGGAAAAACAACCAAUUCGAAAAGGAGUAAGAUACAAGGGA